CUGUUUACUCCCAGAAAUGUUUCCUGAGAUGAGAUAACCCAAAGGCAUUUUCCAAAUUCCCCUGGAAUACAGGUAUAAGUUGACCCUUUUUUGUAAAGGGCAACUAAUUGCUUCAAAUCUAUGAAACUUGGUCCAGCUUGCUUGUUAGAUGUAAUCUAAACUGAUCCCUGACAAGGAAAAUUCUAGAAACUCUGGUACUCGUUUCUCCAAGUGUUGUAUUGCAAUAUGUUAAUAUCCCCAAAUAAAAGAUAACCAUAAGUUAAUAAAUAUAAAAUCCAGCUGCCUCUUGUUGGCAGCGUUGUGAUAAACUGUAGAUAGACUAAAGGGCCCGUAUUGGGGUCAGGGAAGCUGGUUUGAACAAAGAGUGGCUGAUUGCAAACUUGUCAGAUUUAAUUUGGUAGGUGGAGAUGCUGUUAAGAGAAGCCUAUGAUAUAUGUGGCAAAUUGCAUACACCUGGAAUGUUGAGCCCUGAAAUGUAUUUUCUAACAUUAGAACUGAAUGGAACUAACUGAAUGGAACUUACAUUCCCACAUAACUUUCUUUUACACUUUCAGGAGUUGUGUGGUUUUGUCAUUGCUAUUUAUUGGAGUGAGCCUGGGAAAAUCACAAGAAGGGAAAGAUUCCUGCAGAUCAAGAAUUCUGAUGAUGAUCACUUCUGGAAGAAAGAGGCAGUCCUUAAGAUAUCCUGGAACAAAGGCAUUGGGGCUUGAAUAG
rnacentral:lncRNA from 1 species